rnacentral:rRNA from 1 species
GUAGGGAAUAUUGGACAAUGGGGGCAACCCUGAUCCAGCGACGCCGCGUGAGUGAUGAAGGCCUUCGGGUCGUAAAGCUCUGUUGCAGGGGAAGAACACAAUGACGGUACCCUGCUAGAAAGGAUCGGCUAACUUCGUGCCAGCAGCCGCGGUAAGACGAGGGAUCCUAGCGUUGUUCGGAAUUAUUGGGCGUAAAGCGGGUGCAGGUGGCUUGGUAAGUCAGAUGUGAAAGCCUGGGGCUUAACCCCAGAAGUGCAUUGGAUACUGCUGAGCUUGAGUGCUGGAGAGGCUAUUAGAAUUCCUGGUGUAGUGGUGAAAUACGUAGAUAUCAGGAGGAAUACCGGAGGCGAAGGCGGAUAGCUGGCCAGACACUGACACUCAGACCCGAAAGCGUGGGGAUCAAACAGGAUUAGAAACCCUAGUAGUCC